CCUACGGGGGGCUGCAGUGGGGAAUAUUGGACAAUGGAGGAAACUCUGAUCCAGCCAUGCCGCGUGAGUGAUGAAGGCCUUCGGGUUGUAAAGCUCUUUAGACAGGGACAAUAAUGAUGGUACCUGUAGAAUAAGCCCCGGCUAACUCUGUGCCAGCAGCCGCGGUAAUACAGAGGGGGCUAGCGUUGUUCGGAAUUACUGGGCGUAAAGCGCGCGUAGGUGGCGCGAUAAGUUAGGAGUGAAAUCCUGGGGCUUAACCUCAGAAUUGCUCUUAA
rnacentral:rRNA from 1 species